rnacentral:misc_RNA from 1 species
UACGGGGCGCAGCAGUGGGGAAUUUUGGACAAUGGGGAAACCCUGAUCCAGCCAUCCCGUGUGCGAUGAAGGCCUUCGGGUUGUAAAGCCUUUUGGCGGGAAAGAAACGCUGGGAUAUGCCCCGUGCAACUGACGGUACCUGCAGAAUAAGCACCGGCUAACUACGUGCCAGCAGCCGCGGUAAUACGCUGGGGUGCAAGCGAUUAAUCGAAUUACUGGGCAUCGCGAUGCAGACGGUUCGGAAGAAAGAUGUGAAAUCCCGAUGGCCUGGAACUGCAUUUUGUGCGGGCUGGUGUGUCAGAGGGAGGUGGAAUUCCCGCGAUGUAGCAGUGAAAUGCGUAGAUAUGCGGAGGAACACCGAUGGCGAAGGCAGCCUCCUGGAUAACACUGACGCUCAUACACACGAAAGCGUGGGGAGCAAACAGGAUUAGAUACCCUGGUAGU